AUUGAACGCUGGCGGCAUGCCUUACACAUGCAAGUCGAACGGUAACAGGUCUUCGGAUGCUGACGAGUGGCGAACGGGUGAGUAAUACAUCGGAACGUUCCCAGACGUGGGGGAUAACGAGGCGAAAGCUUUGCUAAUACCGCAUACGAUCUAAGGAUGAAAGCAGGGGACCGCAAGGCCUUGCGCGUUUGGAGCGGCCGAUGGCAGAUUAGGUAGUUGGUGGGAUAAAAGCUUACCAAGCCGACGAUCUGUAGCUGGUCUGAGAGGACGACCAGCCACACUGGGACUGAGACACGGCCCAGACUCCUACGGGAGGCAGCAGUGGGGAAUUUUGGACAAUGGGCGAAAGCCUGAUCCAGCAAUGCCGCGUGCAGGAUGAAGGCCUUCGGGUUGUAAACUGCUUUUGUACGGAACGAAAAGGCUCUGGCUAAUACCUGGGGCACAUGACGGUACCGUAAGAAUAAGCACCGGCUAACUACGUG
rnacentral:rRNA from 1 species